rnacentral:rRNA from 1 species
CCUACGGGUGGCAGCAGUGGGGAAUAUUGCACAAUGGGGGAAACCCUGAUGCAGCAACGCCGCGUGAGUGAGGAAGUAUUUCGGUAUGUAAAGCUCUAUCAGCAGGGAAUAAAAAGGAGGUUCCCUGAAAAAGAACCCCCGGCUAACUACGUGCCAGCGGCCGCGGUAAUACGUAGGGGGCAAGCUUUAUCCGGAUUUACUGGGUGUAAAGGGACCGUAGACGGAAAGGCAAGUCAGAAGUGAAAUGCCAAGGCCCAACCCAGGGACUGCUUUUGAAACUGGCAAACUAGAGUACGGGAGAGGUAAGAGGAAUUCCUGGUGGAGCGGGGAAAUGCGUAGAUAUUAGGAGGAACACCAGUGGCGAAGGCGUCUUACUGGACCGAAACUGACGUUGAGGCUCGAAAGCGUGGGGAGCAAACAGGAUUAGAUACCCUUGUAGUC